rnacentral:rRNA from 1 species
GCCUAACACAUGCAAGUCGAACGGAUUGUAGCAAUACAGUCAGCGGCGAACGGGUGAAUAACGCGUGGGAACCUGCCUUGGAGUUCGGAAUAACCGCGGGAAACUGCGGGCUAAUACCGGGAUACGACCUGAGGGUGAAAGCAGCAAUGCGCUCCAAGAGGGGCCCGCGUCCGAUUAGCUAGUUGGUGGGGUAACGGCCUACCAAGGCGAUGAUCGGUAGCUGGGUCUGAGAGGAUGAUCAGCCACACUGGAACUGAGACACGGUCCAGACUCCUACGGGAGGCAGCAGUGGGGAAUAUUGGACAAUGGGCGAAAGCUGAUCCAGCCAUGCCGCGUGUGUGAAGAAGGUCUUCGGAUUGUAAAGCACUUUAAGUUGGGAGGAAGGGUAGUAACCUAAUACGUUGCUACUUUGACGUUACCGACAGAAUAAGCACCGGCUAACUUCGUG